rnacentral:rRNA from 1 species
CGACGGGUGAGUAACGCGUGAGGAACCUGCCUUUCAGUGGGGGACAACAGUUGGAAACGACUGCUAAUACCGCAUAACGUACGGGUAUCGCAUGGUAUCUGUACCAAAGAUUUAUCGCUGAGAGAUGGCCUCGCGUCUGAUUAGCUAGUUGGUAGGGUAACGGCCUACCAAGGCGACGAUCAGUAGCCGGACUGAGAGGUUGGCCGGCCACAUUGGGACUGAGAUACGGCCCAGACUCCUACGGAAGGCAGCAG